GGUUCAUAACCCUCUGAGCCACAACGGGAACUCCGGAGACGCAUUUAUUCUUGAAAACCUGCUCUGUGGGUCAGACCAGUGGGAGUGGCCGCACGGCCUGUUGGCGCUAUCCCUGUGUGGGACCGGCAGCUUUGCCACCCGAGGACCAACUGGAUGGGGUGGAGGCAGAAAUCCGGGGCUUUUUCAGCAGAGAGUGGUGAACCCCAGAGGAGGAAAACGAAAAUCCGCCAGUUUGCUCAUCUGAGGCUGUGGACCUAGUUGGGAUGAGCAGCCAACUGACCAGAAAGGUAGUGGGGACAUCGUGGGACGUGAGUGCCACCGAGGGCGGGGCCGGCCCCGGGGGAGCGUGGGCAGGCGUGGGCGCGGGCCUGACACAGACGGGCCAGAGGGAGCUUGUGGGGCGGCGGCGGGUUCUGAAGCUCAUCCUGCACUGGCUGCAUCGGGCCACCCCUUGUCCCAGAGGACAGUGUAAACUCGCUUGGAGAGCAGUGUGUGGCACCCACGUUUCUCUCCAUGGUCUCAAAGUGAACUCGAGGGGACCCGGAGCAGGAACCCGGCUGCGGGGCAGAGCCACGCGACGCGCUCGUGAAAACGGAGCUGCCCUCCCCGCCCCCCCUACCCGCUCGUUUCCUGGGGUAAAGGCCCAGCCGCAGGCGCUUUAGAGGAUCUCCAGCUGAUCCCCAUUUGCAGCCGCGUUUGAAAACCACGGGACGACCGGAGCUGGGUUCCUCCUGGCCAGGCUGAGGUCCCCGGCAGACUCUAGAAGCUGGAGGAGGAGACAGGUGCCGAGCAAGGCAGGAGGCACAGACCCAGCUGGAGGUGGACGGGGAGACGAAGCAGCUGGUACCGGCUUUAUGAAAAUUGGAACAACCAGACGAGGUCCCGGGAUGUUGUCCAGAGCCUCACCAGCUGGCAUGGCAUCUCUACCCAAAACAUCGACGCCCUGUCCACGUCUGGAUGCCGGAGAGAGACGAACGCUAUUGUUUUAAAAGGCGGGGGUUCGUGUGUGUGGCUCUUUCUUUCUGAGCGGAUGCACUGGGAACAAGGGUUUGGCACCCCUACCAGGGACCGCACCGCAAAGCUCCUGCAAUCACGGCUUCCUUUCUGUCUGUGCCAUCAGACCUGAGGUCUGUGAGCACAGGGCUCGUGCUGUAUCCUCUGAUUUUUUUCAGAAGGCCCAGAGGGCACCCAAUGAAUGAAUGAGUGAGUGAAUGAAUGAGAGAGUGCAGAAAGUAUGCAGGCGCUGAGGUGGUGACUAAAGACCUGUAAGACAGGGCUUCCCUACCGAAGUGUGACUGUGACCCUGGACAGCGAAGACCCUUGCAAGCGGACCAGCAGGAGUAAGUUUUGAAGGGUGGGAUGAGCAGAGGAGGUGGUCCCUGCCCCUGGAGUCAGAGGCUGGAGCCAUGCGGGACUCAGGGCUUGAGCAGACUUGAAGAUGGGCCUGGAGUCCCCAGAACACUAUGCCCAGGGGCGGCGGGGGAAGGAGUGCCCGAGCACUGGCCGCGAAGGAGGUCCGGCAGCGGCCGGACAGCUGGGCCCGGGGAGGGUGGCGGGCCCCCUGCUGGGUGAGGCUGGGUUGAGGGAGGUCAGCCUGGGCUCAGAGAGCCCAGGACCUCAGGGUCAGGGGGGCCACAUCGAGCAGGCAUUGAGGAAUUGGUGGCAGUUUGAGCAGGGAGAGCUCAAAAAAACCCAAAACCAAAACCAAAACAAAGCAGAGGUGGGGCCGGUGGUGACACAGAGCAGCCCCAGGCUUUCCUGCUCUCCUCCCCGGCCAUCCAGGGGUCCCAGGCCCUGUGCUGCUGGUGCAAACCAACCUCGCACAGUCUAAUCUCAAAGGCUCUUGUGGCUACUACAGUUCCUUCCCCUGGCUGCCCAGAAAUGCCGUGGGCCCUCUCUUUGCCUGAACGCUAGUAAUACAACCACAUGGCUUGAAAUCGCUCAAAAAGAGGUAAGAGGCAGAAGCCAAACUAAGAGAGGCUUGCGUGCCCAUUUUGCCAUAAGAGCCCCGUGCAUACAUUUGGUCCUGUGUUCCUUCCCAGCGCCCCAGGAAGAAUUAUUGGAGUUCGGUGACAUAAAGAAAUGGCCUCCGGGUGGAUUUUUACGGUUCUGGUCUUUCAGAGUUGGAAGCACAUCUUUCAGCGCUGUAAGAAGUCCAGAAUUUAUCCUGGCAAGGCCCAAAAAGUCUCACUCACGGAAUGAGGUCAUCUUGGAGGUUGCUAUAAUACAGCUGGAUUUUAUUCUCGGCGCCUGAAACACAUCUUAAAUUCAACUUGCUGUGAAAACUCCAAAUUCAAACCUCAUUCCAGCCUUCACCCGCUCCUCAGUGGUUACGUAAAACUUUCAAUGCCUCCAUGAUUAAUUUGUGAAAACUGAUGCAGAUCCUGAGGACAAUGCAAGCGAAACAGAAGGAAGUGGACAAAUGGCAAGUGCUCAUUUUGCCAAAAGCUACGACAGACGUCAGCUCACCGAUGAAAACACCUGAAAAUCUCAGUCUGUAAAAAUUCAGCUCGAAACAAGCUUAUUCCAGGCAUUUUUCUAGUCCAGUUCUGACUUCUUCAGAGCAGUGUGGCUGGGGAGUGGAGGGGCCGCCAGCCAACACGCAGGCUCAGCAGCAGGAGCUGAAGAUCAGCAGCAGCACCCCCUCCUACCCGCGGGCCAGGCAGGCUUGGUGGCAGGGCAAGUGCGUGUCCACAAAGGCAUCAGGCAUGUAAACGCAAACCCUCCAUCCACCAGGAAGGAGCCUUCUCGAUUUGUAUGUUACGUCCUCUCUCUCUAAACUGAGACUGAUUAUCUAAGACAAGCAUGGCCUUGCCUGCUGUAGACCCUGGAAAAAGAAGCAUGUUUUAAGCAACUGGACAAGAGCCGGGGAGCAGCCAAAUGUUUCAAGUUGAAAAUGAAAAAAAAGAGGAGGAGAGUACCUGUUCUUGAUCAACUGUCAUACAAAGUC